rnacentral:rRNA from 2 species
CAGCCGCCGCGGUAAAACCAGCACCUCGAGUGGUCAGGAGGUUUAUUGGGCCUAAAGCAUCCGUAGCCGGUUGCAUAAGUUUUCGGUUAAAUCUAUGCGCUCAACGUAUAGGCUGCCGAAAGUACUGUGCAGCUAGGGAGUGGGAGAGGUACACGGUACUCAAUAGGAAGGGGUAAAAUCCUUUGAUCUAUUGAUGACCACCUGUGGCGAAGGCGGUGUACCAGAACACGUUCGACGGUGAGGGAUGAAAGCUGGGGGAGCAAACCGGAUUAGAUACCCGGGUAGUCCCAGCUGUAAACGAUGCAGACUCGGUGAUGCAUUGGCUUGUGGCCAAUGCAGUGCCGCAUGGAAGCCGUUAAGUCUGCCGCCUGGGAAGUACGUACGCAAGUAUGAAACUUAAAGGAAUUGGCGGGGGAGCAC